UUUUCCUACGGACGCAGCAGUGGGGAAUAUUGCACAAUGGGGGGAACCCUGAUGCAGCGACGCCGCGUGAGUGAAGAAGUAUUUCGGUAUGUAAAGCUCUAUCAGCAGGGAAGAUAAUGACGGUACCUGACUAAGAAGCCCCGGCUAACUACGUGCCAGCAGCCGCGGUAAUACGUAGGGGGCAAGCGUUAUCCGGAUUUACUGGGGGUAAAGGGGGCGUAGGUGGCAGGGCAAGUCAGAUGUGAAAG
rnacentral:rRNA from 1 species